UACGUAGGGGGCAAGCGGUUGUCCGGAAUCAUUGGGCGUAAAGAGCGUGUAGGACGGUCCUGUAAGUCCGCUGUGAAAGUCAAAGGGCUCAACCCCUUGAAUGCCGGUGGAUACUUGCAGGACUAGAGUCCGGAAGAGGCGAGUGGAAUUCCUGGUGUAGCGGUGAAAUGCGCAGAUAUCAAGAGGAACACCGAUGGCGAAGGCAGCUCGCUGGGACGGUACUGACGCUGAGACGCGAAGCGUGGGAGCAACAGGAUAGAACC
rnacentral:rRNA from 1 species